UUGUUAAUGAAAAAUAACAACAUUUGCAAUAAAAACUCACAUCAAUUUCGAACUCAAAUGAUAAAAUCAAUAGAUUAAAAGUUUAGGUUAUGGUAAGAGUAUAAACUAACCUUAAGAAGCUUUCAAAUUGAUAAUUAUAUCUUCAAUUAUGUAAUACUUGUUUGAUGAAAUUUGCUAAUUUAUUGAGAGUAAUGGAGUUUGUUGAGUGAUGAAAUUUGUUAAGUUGAAAAGGAAAAAAUGGUGGAAGUGCUGGAAUUAAUAAGGGAAAGUGGCAUGCCUUUGUAAAUUUGAUGAAAAUGAUGAGGGUAAUGUAGUCCAAAAAUAGGGUGUUUGGCUAGUUAUGAUAGAAAAAAGUUUGAAGGGUUAAAGUUGAAAAAUGACUAAUUUUUUUGGCUAUUUUUGUAAAUUUCCCGAGGUCACUAAGUUCGAAUUUUAACUGUAAUUCAAAAUUAUUUCUCCUCCCAUGAAUAUGGGUAGAGAUAGCUAUCACCCUAAAUGUUAAUAGCAUUAAAUUUCGGAACAAGUCUUGGUAGAUUAAUGAGUUGUACUGUGCAUAUAGAAAUAUUUUAAUCUGAAAUCUUUUUUU
rnacentral:lncRNA from 1 species